GCCUUCUCACUGAGCUCUUCUCUGCCAAUCUGUGGCAGUUUAUGGGUCCACACGAGAAGAGACAAUUCACAGAGCUGGCAUUGUUUUGCUUCCUGUCUUCAGAGGUGUGUUUAGCUGUUUUGUGAGACAUUA